rnacentral:rRNA from 1 species
CCUACGGGGUGCAGCAGUGGGGAAUAUUGGACAAUGGGCGAAAGCCUGAUCCAGCCAUGCCGCGUGUGUGAAGAAGGCCUUCGGGUUGUAAAGCACUUUCAGUGGGGAAGAAAGCCUUGGGGCUAAUACCCUCGAGGAAGGACAUCACCCACAGAAGAAGCACCGGCUAACUCCGUGCCAGCAGCCGCGGUAAUACGGAGGGUGCGAGCGUUAAUCGGAAUUACUGGGCGUAAGCGCGCGUAGGCGGUCUGAUAAGCCGGUUGUGAAAGCCCCGGGCUCAACCUGGGAACGGCAUCCGGAACUGUCAGGCUAGAGUGCAGGAGAGGAAGGUAGAAUUCCCGGUGUAGCGGUGAAAUGCGUAGAGAUCGGGAGGAAUACCAGUGGCGAAGGCGGCCUUCUGGACUGACACUGACGCUGAGGUGCGAAAGCGUGGGUAGCAAACAGGAUUAGAUACCCCAGUAGUC